UGCGGGGUGGAGCAGUCUGGAAGCUCGCUGGGCUCAUAACCCAGAGGUCGUCGGUUCGAAUCCGGCCCCCGCUACCA
rnacentral:tRNA from 1 species